rnacentral:rRNA from 1 species
GACGAAGGGGGCUAGCGUUGUUCGGAAUUACUGGGCGUAAAGCGCGUGUAGGCGGUUGCCCAAGUCGGGUGUGAAAGCCUUGAGCUCAACUCAAGAAAUGCACUCGGUACUGGGUGACUAGAGGACCGGAGAGGAUAGUGGAAUUCCCAGUGUAGUGGUGAAAUACGUAGAGAUUGGGAAGAACACCAGUGGCGAAGGCGGCUAUCUGGACGGUUUCUGACGCUAAGACGCGAAAGCCGGGGGAGCAAACAGG